rnacentral:rRNA from 1 species
GAAUGCUGACAUAAGUAACGAUAAAGCGGGUGAAAAGCCCGCUCGCCGGAAGACCAAGGGUUCCUGUCCAACGUUAAUCGGGGCAGGGUGAGUCGACCCCUAAGGCGAGGCCGAAAGGCGUAGUCGAUGGGAAACAGGUUAAUAUUCCUGUACUUGGUGUUACUGCGAAGGGGGGACGGAGAAGGCUAUGUUGGCCGGGCGACGGUUGUCCCGGUUUAAGCGUGUAGGCUGGUUUUCCAGGCAAAUCCGGAAAACCAAGGCUGAGGCGUGAUGACGAGGCACUACGGUGCUGAAGCGACAAAUGCCCUGCUUCCAGGAAAAGCCUCUAAGCAUCAGGUAACAUCAAAUCGUACCCCAAACCGACACAGGUGGUCAGGUAGAGAAUACCAAGGCGCUUGAGAGAACUCGGGUGAAGGAACUAGGCAAAAUGGUGCCGUAACUUCGGGAGAAGGCACGCUGAUAUGUAGGUGAAGCGACUUGCUCGUGGAGCUGAAAUCAGUCGAAGAUACCAGCUGGCUGCAACUGUUUAUUAAAAACACAGCACUGUGCAAACACGAAAGUGGACGUAUACGGUGUGACGCCUGCCCGGUGCCGGAAGGUUAAUUGAUGGGGUUAGCGGUAACGCGAAGCUCUUGAUCGAAGCCCCGGUAAACGGCGGCCGUAACUAUAACGGUCCUAAGGUAGCGAAAUUCCUUGUCGGGUAAGUUCCGACCUGCACGAAUGGCGUAAUGAUGGCCAGGCUGUCUCCACCCGAGACUCAGUGAAAUUGAACUCGCUGUGAAGAUGCAGUGUACCCGCGGCAAGACGGAAAGACCCCGUGAACCUUUACUAUAGCUUGACACUGAACAUUGAGCCUUGAUGUGUAGGAUAGGUGGGAGGCUUUGAAGUGUGGACGCCAGUCUGCAUGGAGCCGACCUUGAAAUACCACCCUUUAAUGUUUGAUGUUCUAACGUUGGCCCGUAAUCCGGGUUGCGGACAGUGUCUGGUGGGUAGUUUGACUGGGGCGGUCUCCUCCUAAAGAGUAACGGAGGAGCACGAAGGUUGGCUAAUCCUGGUCGGACAUCAGGAGGUUAGUGCAAUGGCAUAAGCCAGCUUGACUGCGAGCGUGACGGCGCGAGCAGGUGCGAAAGCAGGUCAUAGUGAUCCGGUGGUUCUGAAUGGAAGGGCCAUCGCUCAACGGAUAAAAGGUACUCCGGGGAUAACAGGCUGAUACCGCCCAAGAGUUCAUAUCGACGGCGGUGUUUGGCACCUCGAUGUCGGCUCAUCACAUCCUGGGGCUGAAGUAGGUCCCAAGGGUAUGGCUGUUCGCCAUUUAAAGUGGUACGCGAGCUGGGUUUAGAACGUCGUGAGACAGUUCGGUCCCUAUCUGCCGUGGGCGCUGGAGAACUGAGGGGGGCUGCUCCUAGUACGAGAGGACCGGAGUGGACGCAUCACUGGUGUUCGGGUUGUCAUGCCAAUGGCACUGCCCGGUAGCUAAAUGCGGAAGAGAUAAGUGCUGAAAGCAUCUAAGCACGAAACUUGC